UGAGAUUAUCCGAUGAGCUUAAUGACUUAGAUCCAGAAAGUGCAGCCAGGGCUGGCGAGCAUUCUCCAGAAACCUCUGCAGAAAUAAGAGAAUCCCCUGAAAGUGGUUUCAGCAUAGACUAUGACACAUUCUUCGGUAAGCAGAAGACACAACCACAUUAUCCUUGUGUCAAAGAUUCUUGAAGAUAAACCGGUUCCAUUAGUUCAUGGUAUGAAGAAAUAUGUCUCAUUAGAUUUGGCUCCACUGAUUUUGUUCGAGUACUGUCUGAUUUUUCUUGUUAUAUCACCAUACGCACUACAGCCAUGAUGAACUCCACUGUCAUUUAUCGAUAGACUGAUGUUUUACUCCCUUUUGAAGUCCAAUGUGAGAAGACAAUGAUGCCUGGUAGGAUUGAUUUUUCUUGCACUCUUUCGGAUCUGUAAUCCUUGCUUUGACAAUGAACAUUUACCCAUCCAACAAAACUGGAACAAUGCAGUUCUUGAA